UCAGUGCUCUGAGAGUGUUUAUAGUGCUGUGAGUUUAACACUUCAUGACUGAGAGCAGAACAGAACACAAUCUUCAUCAUCACACAAGACAAAAGAACAACAAUGAACACAAUCACCUUCUUCAUCUGGACUCUCACACUGUUUAUUCAAGAGUGUAGAGGACAGAUCACUGUAACUCAGAGUCCAUCAAUAAUUCAGGCUCAACCAGGACAAGAAGUCAGAAUAAACUGUAAAACCAGCAGUGCAGUGUAUGGUGGUAAUCGUUUAGCCUGGUACUUACAGAAACCUGGAGAAGCUCCUAAACUCCUCAUAUACGAUGCAACGAGCCGUUAUACUGGAACUCCAUCUAGAUUCAGUGGCAGUGGAUCUGGCAGUGAUUUCUCUCUGACCAUCAGUGGAGUCCAGACUGAAGAUACAGGAGAUUAUUACUGUCAGAGUUUACACUAUCCAAACAGUCAAUGGGUGUUCACACAGUGAUAAAGAGUGGUACAAAAACCUCGGUCAGUCAGACGUCACAGUGAUGCACUGAUACAGCUGAGAGAUACUGCAGCUGCUGAUGGAGGAUCACAAACAACAUAAUGGUGUAUCAAACCUUUCAGAAACAUUUUUUUAUUAUUAUUAUUAUAUUAUUAUAAGCAUGUAACAUAGUCUUUAUAUUAUAAUAUUAUAAUUUAUAUUAUAUUAUAAUAUAAAUGUUAGUGGUGCUUGGCCCUCCAAAACUUGCCACUACAAUGUAAUCUAACUGCAGGAAAGUCCGUCACUUUAAUUGCACUUCCAUGCUUCAUCACUAGAUGGCGUGCCUGUUACAUAACUCAGUUCCCUUUCGAAAGGGAAAUCGCUCUGCGUUUGAAUACGCAAUGGGGAACGUCACGUGACCCAGGUGUCUGAAAGCAAACUAUCCAAUAACUCCAAUCCCUAUUGGCCGGCGACAACCUAUGACGUAAUAUGGCGCGACCCGGAGUAUAAAGGAGCGCCUGAAGAAACAGUCAGCAUCUCAUCGUCUUUCGGUCCUGUUCUGUCUAAUCGCGACUAUAUUGACUCCGGUAAGGUUUUUAUAUAUGCCUUACAAACGUUCAAGAGAGUGUGUUUAUCCGUGUCCCAGGGUUUUACACUUGAUAUACACAUUUUCUGGGCGUUUUCUGUCUGGAGAGGAGCGCGCAUAGACAGUUUUUUUUUUUUUUUUUUUUUUUUUUAUUAAUAACAAACAAAUGUACAUACAGAAUAGGUAUUAAACAAACAAUGUUAAUAAUUAACAAUUCUCAAGGCAGACAUAGUUGCAAAUACAAUACUUAACAGUGAAGUAUUACAUAAAAUUUACAAUCGUAAAGGAGAAUGAAGAACAAAAAGUAAA